rnacentral:rRNA from 1 species
AUUGAACGCUGGCGGCAGGCCUAACACAUGCAAGUCGAACGAGUGGCGGACGGGUGAGUAAUGUCUGGGACACUGCCUGAUGGAGGGGGAUAACUACUGGAAACGGUAGCUAAUACCGCAUACCAUCGGAUGUGCCCAGAUGGGAUUAGCUAGUAGGUGGGGUAAAGGCUCACCUAGGCGACGAUCCCUAGCUGGUCUGAGAGGAUGACCAGCCACACUGGGACUGAGACAAGGGACAGACUCCUACGGGAGGCAGCAGUGGGGAAUAUUGACCAAUGGGGUCAAGCCUGAUGCAGCCAUGCCGGGUGUAUGAAGAAGGCCUUCGGGUUGUAAAGUACUUUCAGCGGGGAAGCGUUACCCGCAGGAGAAGCACUGGCUAACUCCGUUCCAGCAGCCGCGGUAAUUC